rnacentral:rRNA from 1 species
UCUUCCCUCUUUCUUCGUGCUUAACACAUGCAAGUCGAACGGAAAGGCCCAAGCUUGCUUGGGUACUCGAGUGGCGAACGGGUGAGUAACACGUGGGUGAUCUGCCCUGCACUUCGGGAUAAGCCUGGGAAACUGGGUCUAAUACCGGAUAGGACCACUUCUUGGAUGUUGUGGUGGAAAGUUUUUUCGGUGUGGGAUGAGCUCGCGGCCUAUCAGCUUGUUGGUGGGGUAAUGGCCUACCAAGGCGUCGACGGGUAGCCGGCCUGAGAGGGUGUACGGCCACAUUGGGACUGAGAUACGGCCCAGACUCCUACGGGAGGCAGCAGUGGGGAAUAUUGCACAAUGGGCGCAAGCCGGAUGCAGCGACGCCGCGUGGGGGAUGACGGCCUUCGGGUUGUAAACUCCGUUCGCUAGGGACGAAGCGUUUUGUGACGGUACCUGGAGAAGAAGCACCGGCUAACUACGUG